AUACGGAGGAUGCAAGCGUUAUCCGGAUUUAUUGGGUUUAAAGGGUGCGUAGGCGGUUUGCUAAGCGGGAGGUGAAAUGCCGGCGCUCAACGUCGGAAGUGCCUCCCGAACUGGUGGACUUGAAUGACUCUGCCGUGGGAGGAAUGUGUAGUGUAGCGGUGAAAUGCUUAGAGAUUACACAGAACACCGAUUGCGAAGGCAUCUCACGAAGGGUUGAUUGACGCUGAGGCACGAAAGCGUGGGGAUCAAACAGGAUUAGAUACCCUGGUAGUCCACGCAGUAAACGAUGAUGGCUAACCGCUGGGCUUAUCAGUUCAGUGGCCAAGCGAAAGCGAUAAGCCAUCCACCUGGGGAGUACGACCACAAGGUUGAAACUCAAAGGAAUUGACGGGG
rnacentral:rRNA from 1 species